rnacentral:lncRNA from 1 species
GCAAGCUGAAGAACGGAAGGCGGUCGUGGAGCAAAGGAAUGUAACAAUUCAAAAUUGUAUUACCCGAUGUGCGAUAGCUGAACAUGAGCGCUCUUUGGCAGAGUAUACGAUAUUAAAGCUGGAAUCUGAGAAUUCAAAUGUCAAGGAGCAACUGAAAGAAGAAAUAACUGAACGAGUGAGAAUGAAAGAUGCAUGGGUAAAAGCCACAUGACACGUUGAUAUUGUGGAAAGAGAAG